rnacentral:lncRNA from 1 species
GACUAUUUUGAUCCUUUAGGCUUUCUGUAUAUACAGCUAUUCAGAUGCAGACCUUAAAUCUAAAAAGAAUAUUCAGAAUAUUAAUUGAAUAUUGCCCUUAUUUAAAAAAAAUAAGUGUCGACAAGUAUAUGAAAAACCUGAAACAGUCAUAUAUUGCUGGUGGGAACCUAAAAUGGUGUAGUUACUUUGGAAAACAAUAUGGCAGUUUCUUAAAAAGUUAAAAGAUUUACCAUAUAAUCCAGUAAUUCCAAUCCUCAGUACCUAUGGAAGAGAAAUGAAAAUAUAUAUUCCCUCAAAGAAUUGACCAUAAAUACCCAAGCAACAUUCCUCAUAACAGCACCAAACUGGAUGUAAUCCACGUGUCCAUUAACGGGUGAAUGGUUAAACAUAAUAUGGCAUAUCUACACAAUGGAAUACUAUUUAGUCAUUAAAAGGGAGCAAACUAUUAAGUCAUGCUACAAUAUGCAUGAAUCUAAAGAAGCCAGAUGCAAAAUACUUCGUAGUGUAUGAUUCUAUUUAUAUGAAGUGUCCAGGAAAAGCAAAUACAGUUAGCCCUUCACAGCUGUGGGUUCCACACCCACUAUAUAAGCAGCUUUUAGGUCUCAACUGUAAUAUUACCCCUUCAGAAA